rnacentral:lncRNA from 1 species
UAAUUUUUCAUAAUUUUUUUGAUUAAUUUGCUAUUUAUUUUAUAAUUUUUAAGUUGACUCGAAUUUUCAGUUGACUUUUCUAUAAUUGAUGUUUGACUUAGGGAUUGCUUAUGGCAAUUGAAGAGAUCUUUUGAUCCUCCCUUGUUCAUCUCAUAUGCCAUGUAUUAUAGGCCUUGUUCCGUUUAGGUAGCACCCAUUAGGUAGAACCCUUUGUAUGAUAACAUAGGUAAAAUUCCCUUAUUCUUCGCAUGCUAACAUUAG